rnacentral:rRNA from 1 species
AUUGAACGCUGGCGGCAGGCCUAACACAUGCAAGUCGAACGAGUCGCGGACGUGUGAGUAAUGUCUCUGAAACUUCCUGAUGGAGGAGGAUAACUACUGGAAACUGUAGCUAAUACCGGAUGCCAUCACAUGUGCCCAUAUGGGAUUAGCUUGUGGGUGGGGUAACGGCUGACCAAGGCGACGAUCCCUAGCUGGUCUGAGAGGAUGACCAGCAACACUGGAACUGAGACACGGUCCAGACUCCUACGGGAGGCAGCAGUGGGGAAUAUUGCACAAUGGGCGCAAGCCUGAUGCAGCCAUGCCGCGUGUAUGAAGAAGGCCUUCGGGUUGUAAAGUACUUUCAGCGGGGAGGCGUUACCCGCAGAAGAAGCACCGGCUAACUCCGUGCCAGCAGCCGCGGUAAUUC